rnacentral:lncRNA from 1 species
ACAUGGUCUGCACCCAGAGCACCACGUGGCCUCCCUGCAGGGCGUUAACAAAGCUCAGAUGGACACAGAAGACUUUCUUUGUGUGGCUAAAGAGAUGUAACAGUUCGGAGUCCACAUAAAAACAUGUAAUGAUUCCUUAUACACACAGAAGUCCUGAUGCUGCUGCUUCUGCUUGCCUUGGAGACCUUCAGCUGCAGAGGCUUUUUUUUGAAACCAGUGAACUUUGAAGUCUAUAAACCCAGAAGUGAACAUCUGUUUUUAUGCUGGGACCUCACUGAACGCUACAACUGGAUGCCACGUGGAGAACUGAAUAUGGAAACCUUUCAAAUACUAAGGAGGAGGACAGAAGAAUCCCAGGCAUCACCUCCACCAAGACCAAGAGAACCUGUGUUGCACAUGCAGCAUCCUCCUGCUGCUGCAUCCCAGAACUUCAGGGGGCUGCAACAUGUUGCAGUUUCCUCUGCAUUGAUGCAGGAGCUGAGCUAGCAAGGAUGAAGGGAUCCACCCAGGACUACACAGCAGCUGCUGACAGAACAGAGUUACGUCAUGUCCAACUGUAUGUUCAAACUGGCUCUUGUCCCUCCCACGCUGGAAGGAACAAUGAAUGGGAAUGCACAGCUGGACUGGGACAACUGAUCCAAACUCCACAAAGCCCCACUCGCACAAACUGCUGCAAGUGAACUCCCAGGAGGUGGGAGCAGAACACACCACUUCUGCAUUUGGCAGAAACAAGGAGGGACGGAGGGUUCGGCAGCACAAACCAGGGAGGGGAGAAAGAUCAGUGUAAAUGUAGCAGUUCCCCUGCCUGGGAAGUCCUGCCUGGGACUUGUGCAGGGUUUGAUACAGGGCUGGUGAUAACACAGAGCAUGUAAUUUUUAUUUGUUCAAAGCACAUGGAACGUUAUUUUCCUUCCUUAAAAACCCACUUCGAGCAUCUCAUCCUACCGAUUUUACUUGGUUUCCAAGAUCACAAAUUCAAAACCACGGCAAUCUCCAGAAAUACCUGUGAAUUUAAUAAAUUGAACCGCCGGCGUGUAUGAACUACCUUA